rnacentral:snRNA from 1 species
CUGCUUGCUUCAGCAGCACAUAUACUAAAAUUGGAACUCUACAAGAGAUUAACAUGGCCCCUGUGCAAGGAUGACACACAAAUUUGUGAAGAGUUCCAUACUAUA